rnacentral:rRNA from 1 species
AGAGUUUGAUCCUGGCUCAGGACGAACGCUGGCGGCGUGCUUAACACAUGCAAGUCGAGCGGAAAGGCCCUUCGGGGUACUCGAGCGGCGAACGGGUGAGUAACACGUGAGUAACCUGCCCCCGACUCUGGGAUAAGCCCGGGAAACUGGGUCUAAUACCGGAUAUGACACCUCCUCGCAUGGGGUGGGUGUGGAAAGUUUUUUCGGUUGGGGAUGGACUCGCGGCCUAUCAGCUUGUUGGUGGGGUAACGGCCUACCAAGGCGACGACGGGUAGCCGGCCUGAGAGGGCGACCGGCCACACUGGGACUGAGACACGGCCCAGACUCCUACGGGAGGCAGCAGUGGGGAAUAUUGCGCAAUGGGCGAAAGCCUGACGCAGCGACGCCGCGUGGGGGAUGACGGCCUUCGGGUUGUAAACCUCUUUCAGCAGGGACGAAGUUGACGUGUACCUGCAGAAGAAGCGCCGGCUAACUACGUGCCAGCAGCCGCGGUA